UCCCUCUCCCUCUCCCUCCGUCUCUCCUUCUCUCUCUCUCUCUCUCUCUCUCUCUCUCUCUCUCUCUCUGCGCCUGAGUUUAGAGAAGUCGUUGGAUCUAAGACUGUUGUGGGUGAAAGUAAUUAUAGUGGCGAAUCUGUGUUGUUGUUUCCUGUCAGCAAUAGUAGCAGGGAUGCCGGAUCUGAAUGGAAAGGGUGUCUGGUGGUGUGCUCACAAGGGUUCCGAUGGAGAUGGGCUUCAGCAAAGGCGGCGAUGGCUGAAGAAAAUGCAAAGAGCGAGAUUGUGGGCCGCGAAUGGGAUCUCAGAGACGAAAAUGAUGGCGGAUCUGAGUGUUGGUCUAGCAGAGCAGUGUCUGAGACAGGGUUUUGCCGGAUUUGCAGGUGACGGCUGGUGUGGCUGCGGUGGUGAUGUGGAAACGUGGUGGUGCUUGUGAUGAGAAUGAUGGAGAUGAAUGGUGUGGAUCAAAGGCCCCAAAUCGGGCCACGGGGGUGCUCGAGCUGCAGAGUAUGUUAAACAACAUUAUCUUACGCCACACAUGCAUGAAAGUGGUGGUAUGGAUAUAGAGAAUAGCACUUUACCAAGCAUGAUUUUUCUCAAGCAAGGUAGGAGUAGCCGCCACGUGGACCAGACACUCCACUGUCUCUCAAGUUUGAGGUUGAAGCAGCAAGGUGCACCACCUUCUCCAACAUGUAUUUAUGGUCCAAUCCAUGAAUUUUCAGCUUUUUACAACGAUUACAGUCAACGAACCUGCGCCCGGGCUCAAGACAAUUUUUAGCUUCACUGUUCCUGAUCAAAAGUCUGGCAAGGUAUCAGGAUAUUGCAUCUAGGCUCAUAGAUCUCUCCAUUAUCACUUGCAUGCAACUUGCAGAUAAGCUCUGGAAUUGGACUAACAGACUAUAUUUGCAUUUUGCAACUUUCAGGUAUCGAAUCUGUUUAUUUGUGGGAGGGUGAGGUAAGAAUACCAUGCAUACUGAGUUAUAUCAUUAACUGAUAUUUUAUGACCAAUUCAACCGUCAGAUUAAUGCGAAUGAGCCUCAAUGACAUAUCAUAUGUGCAUCAGAAUAGAUUAAUCACAUAUAUGGUAUGCUGUAAAGCUCGUUAAUCUGGCUAUCAAGUUUGUUUUUCCUUCUUUUUUUAUGUUUAACUUCUCUUUUAUAUAGAUUUUUUAUUUUAACAAGCUCUGAUUUUUCAUUGUCUUUAUAUGAAUGAUGAGUUGUUGUGGGGAGCUGCUUAGCUACACAAAGCCACCAAAAACCCAGGUUAUCUGAACUACAUUCAAGCGAAUGGUCAGACACUUGGAGCUGAUGAGACUGACAAUACCUUUGGUUGGGAUAACAAACAUUUGUAUGUGCCAAGAUAAAGUUCAAAAUGUGAAUAUACAACUCAUUUCUAAGGCUACUAAGAAGUCAGUUCUCAGUCACUAUCUGUGUCUAGUGUUGCAGACUCGAGGUAAUAGUGAAGCUGGAAAAGAAGCUAGAGGGAUUUGCAUUUCUCAGACAAACACGUCAUCAUGCUAAACCAUCUUCAUGUCCCUGAAGCUGAGAGAAGUGGAUUGAGUUUCAGAAGCUUUGAUGCUAGUUUUGGGCUUAAUGCAAUCUUCACAAAUGGCCCAGAUACUGACAAGAGCUCUACACCUUUGUCUGAGUCAUCUUAGGUGAUCGAAGAGUCAGCUAAGGAGCCUUCUUCAAGGUUACCGCCAAUCAUUCCACAUAAGAGGUCAAAGGACAAACUCCUUCGAGGGUAGUAAGGUCUAUCAUCGUCGUGACAGAUAACUUUUUUGCUGGUAUUGUGCUUUUAUGAAUGGAUUAAAAUAAAUGAUUGUAUUUGAUUGAUUGAAUGAAUGAUUAUGCACAGGUUUAUGAAUGGAUUAAAUUGAAUGAUUUA